AACGAAUUUCACAAAACUUUCUCAAAAUUAAUAUUGCUUUAUAUUUAAAUAAAUUUAUUCUGUUGCAAGUAAACUAUUUACCUUUCUGAGAUUUACUAAUGAAAGCCCGAAUAAAUAAUGUGAAUGUGUAUUAUAUGAAUAAUAUUUAUAUUUAUACGAAUCUGUUUAAGCGCGAAGAGUACCGCAAUGAUGUUACGAUGAGACAAGAGUAGAGCGCAAAACGAUUAGUUACACGCGACAUUCAACUUUAUUCUUGUUCUUCCUACACAUUGGUAUGGUAAUUUUCGUCUGAAGAGAACUAAAACUGUGUGAAUGACACUAAAACUCCGAACGAUUGCCCGUUUUGUGAGCCCCGGGGUGCUGUUUUGAUUUGCGAGUGAGAUGCAAGAAAACACCUAAGGUUAAGUUCAGACAAGAGACAAGGGAGACGAGAAAAAUGAAGGAUAAGACCAGAGGGCCACGCGACAGGAAGACGUUUCUUUUAUUCAGAGUAACGACUCCUAAGUAUAUAUUUCUUCAUAAUUUUGUCUUCAACUUCUCACCCCCAAAAAAACAUUUGUUAAUUGAAGAUAUAAUAAUAACUUUAUCAACUUAAAAAUCAAAGUCGUUAAAAAUAAUAUACUAAUAAUCAUGUUAUUGAAGUUUAAUAUUAGAUAAAAAAAUAAUGAUGAUGGAAUUUUUCAUUUCAACUAAC
rnacentral:lncRNA from 1 species